rnacentral:lncRNA from 1 species
AAAAAUCACAACUCUUUCAUUUUAAUUCCAAAAAAUAUGGGACCAAUUGCAUUAUUUCUCUUUUAAUUUUUAGUUUCUAAAAAUGAUUUUUAAUAUUUUUUAUUUUACCAUUUGAUAUUUUUUUAUGAAUUUUCUCUUUUCUUGUUAUUUUUAGUUCAUUUUAAAUAGUUUCUGAUAUUCAAAAAAUAUCAAAAUAUUUUCCUAACCUCUUUG